rnacentral:rRNA from 1 species
CCUACGGGUUGCAGCAGUGGGGAAUUUUGGACAAUGGGCGCAAGCCUGAUCCAGCCAUGCCGCGUGCAGGAUGAAGGCCUUCGGGUUGUAAACUGCUUUUGUACGGAACGAAAAGACUCCUUCUAAUAAAGGGGGUCCAUGACGGUACCGUAAGAAUAAGCACCGGCUAACUACGUGCCAGCAGCCGCGGUAAUACGUAGGGUGCGAGCGUUAAUCGGAAUUACUGGGCGUAAAGCGUGCGCAGGCGGUGAUGUAAGACAGAUGUGGAAUCCCCGGGCUCAACCUGGGAACUGCAUUGUGACUGCAUCGCUGGAGUGCGGCAGAGGGGGAUGGAAUUCCGCGUGUAGCAGUGAAAUGCGUAGAUAUGCGGAGGAACACCGAUGGCGAAGGCAAUCCCCUGGACCUGCACUGACGCUCAUGCACGAAAGCGUGGGGAGCAAACAGGAUUAGAUACCCGUGUAGUC